UGACUUUACGAAAAUACCACGGAGUGAU
rnacentral:sRNA from 1 species